rnacentral:ncRNA from 1 species
GGUGGUGGCACAUGGCCGUUCUUAGUUGGUGGAGUGAUUUCUCUGGUUAAUUCCAGUAACAAACAAGACUCUGGUAUGCGAACUAGGUACGUGACCCCAAGCAGUUGGCAUCCAACUUGUUAGAGGGACAAGCAGUGUUCAGCCACCCGAGACUGAGCAAUAACAGGUCUGUGAUGCCCC